rnacentral:rRNA from 1 species
CCUACGGGAGGCAGCAGUGGGGAAUAUUGCACAAUGGGGGAAACCCUGAUGCAGCGACGCCGCGUGAGUGAAGAAGUAUUUCGGUAUGUAAAGCUCUAUCAGCAGGGAAGAAAAUGACGGUACCUGAGUAAGAAGCCCCGGCUAACUACGUGCCAGCAGCCGCGGUAAUACGUAGGGGGCAAGCGUUAUCCGGAUUUACUGGGUGUAAAGGGAGCGUAGACGGCAGCACAAGUCUGGAGUGAAAUGCCGGGGCUUAACCCCGGAACUGCUUUGGAAACUGUGCAGCUAGAGUGCAGGAGAGGUAAGUGGAAUUCCUAGUGUAGCGGUGAAAUGCGUAGAUAUUAGGAGGAACACCAGUGGCGAAGGCGGCUUACUGGACUGUAACUGACGUUGAGGCUCGAAAGCGUGGGGAGCAAACAGGAUUAGAUACCCCAGUAGUC